AUGCCCGAUCCUGCAGCAUGUGGGUGUGCUCUUAAUUCCCUUACCAGGAAUAGAUGGAAGCUGGGCCUCCUGCAUUGGGAGCGUAGGCUCUUAACCACUGGACCACCGGAGAAGUCCCUGAAGAUUAUGGUUUUAAAAAAAACCUGGAUUUUAUCCUACAGAACAGUGGUCUCCAGAGUGGAGUAUAAAAAAGUGUGUGAACCUGGCUCUGUCCCUUGGGUUCAGUACAAAUAAACGGAGCUGCUGAGGGAACAGGGUAAGCAAGCUGAUUUUUGUAGUUACAGGCUGUUCCACAUAACCCAUUUACAAGGUCAGUAGGGACCACAGCUUACCAAAACAAAGAGGUAUGUAAUUUUAAAUGAGGAACUCUUGAUCGAUCAGAAACAAGAAAAGACCUUCCAGGGUUCCUAAAUGGUUUAUAUUCCUGACUGUAAUGCAACAAAAAAUUGCUGGAGGGUAAGGAAAAAGGAAGACAGACUAGAGGAUCAGAAUAUUAAAGUGCCAUAAAAAUAGAGUGCUGAGUACGGCCCUGUCUGUUAGAACUCUGGACCAGCCUCUUUCCUUCAUUGUGUUCUUAUAACUGAAUGGGAUCAUUACAGGUUUGGAUGAUUUGGAGAAAUAAACAUGUAAUUAAAGUUGUAGAUAUAAAAGUGGUUUCAUAUGGAUGUUUUUAGAGAGAAGAACAGUGGUUAAGAAAUGAGAGCCUUAAAACCAGCCUCCUGAGGAAAGGGCUGAGGAUCCCAGAGAGGAAGGCUGGACUGCAGGCAGCAUGGGCCAGCAUGUGCCUUUAGAUAAGUUCCUUCAACCUAUGAGCCUCAAUUUUCUCUUCUGUAAAGUGGAGGUAACAGUAGUUGCUACCUCAUAACCUCAUAGACUUAUUGUGACAGGUAAACAAGUGAAGGUGUGUAAACUCUUCAUCCAGAGGGUGGAAGCUGAGUGCUGACACCGGUCCUGGAGGUGGGAUGCUGGGGCGGAGUGUGGCUAAACAGGAGUUGGGGACUUUUAUAAUCCAAGAAAUAAAACGAUUGGAAAAGAUGUUGAUUGGGAUUGGAGGGGCUAAGAGGUAGUAACCCUUUCGUAAUUCCGAAAGCUGAAAUUGGGAGGAGAAGCCAAGCUGGGCCUCUGGGCUUUGGCUGGCAAUGAGGAGAGCAGUGAAUCAAGCUCUGAGACCAAAAAAAAAAAAAAAAAAAAAUGAGUCUUUUUUUUUUUUAAUAUCAGAGCUCUAAAGAACUAAGAGAAAUGUCCUGAUUUGGACUAGAGUGGAAGUAGGGGCAAUGGAAAAUGUUUUAACAACCAGCUGAGAGUGGAGAUGAGAGCCUAAUUU
rnacentral:lncRNA from 1 species